rnacentral:rRNA from 1 species
UAAGACCUGGCGGCAGCUUAACCAUGCAAGUCCAACGGUAACAGGAAGAAGCUUGCUUCUUUGCUGACGAGUGGCGGACGGGUGAGUAAUGCUUGGGAAUCUGGCUUAUGGAGGGGGAUAACUACUGGAAACGGUAGCUAAUACCGCGUAAUGUCUAAGGACUAAAGGGUGGGACCAUUUGGCCACCUGCCAUAAGAUGAGCCCAAGUGGGAUUAGGUAGUUGGUGAGGUAAAGGCUCACCAAGCCCGCGAUCUCUAGCUGGUCUGAGAGGAUGACCAGCCACACUGGAACUGAGACACGGUCCGGACUCCUACGGGAGGCAGCAGUGGGGAAUAUUGCACAAUGGGGGGAACCCUGAUGCAGCCAUGCCGCGUGAAUGAAGAAGGCCUUCGGGUUGUAAAGUUCUUUCGGUGACGAGGAAGGCGAUUGUUUUAAUAGAACAGUCGAUUGACGUUAAUCACAGAAGAAGCACCGGCUAACUCCGUGCCAGCAGCCGCGGUAAU